rfam:Picea glauca, whole genome shotgun sequence.
ACAUAGGCCCUUCUCGGGGCCACCUUUGUCAAGCUAAGGAGGAAA